AAUUUUUUUUUUUUUUUUUUUUUUUUUU
rnacentral:ribozyme from 1 species